AUUGAACGCUGGCGGCAUGCUUUACACAUGCAAGUCGAACGGUAACAGGCCGCAAGGUGCUGACGAGUGGCGAACGGGUGAGUAAUGCAUCGGAACGUGCCCAGUCGUGGGGGAUAACUGCUCGAAAGAGCAGCUAAUACCGCAUACGAUCUAUGGAUGAAAGCGGGGGACCGUAAGGCCCCGCGCGAUUGGAGCGGCCGAUGUCAGAUUAGGUAGUUGGUGGGGUAAAGGCUCACCAAGCCAACGAUCUGUAGCUGGUCUGAGAGGACGACCAGCCACACUGGGACUGAGACACGGCCCAGACUCCUACGGGAGGCAGCAGUGGGGAAUUUUGGACAAUGGGGGCAACCCUGAUCCAGCAAUGCCGCGUGCAGGAGAAGGCCUUCGGGUUGUAAACUGCUUUUGUACGGAACGAAACGGUCUGGGUUAAUACCCUGGGCUAAUGACGGUACCGUAAGAAUAAGCACCGGCUAACUACGUGCCAGCCGCCGCAGUAACAC
rnacentral:rRNA from 1 species